rnacentral:rRNA from 1 species
AGGUAAUAGAUACCCGGGUAGUCCACGCUGUAAACGAUGAAUACUAGGUGUAGGGGGUAUCAACUCCCUCUGUGCCGCAGCAAAAAACGCAAUAAGUAUUCCGCCUGGGGAGUACGAUCGCAAGAUUGAAACUCAAAGGAAUUGACGGGGGCCCGCACAAGCAGCGGAGCAUGUGGUUUAAUUCGAAGCAACGCGAAGAACCUUACCAAGGCUUGACAUCCACUUAAACUCAUGGAAACAUGAGGUGUCUUCGGACGAAGUGAGACAGGUGGUGCAUGGUUGUCGUCAGCUCGUGUCGUGAGAUGUUGGGUUAAGUCCCGCAACGAGCGCAACCCUUAUUGCCAGUUACCAGCGCGUAAAGGCGGGGACUCUGGUGAGACCGCCGGGGACAACUCGGAGGAAGGUGGGGACGACGUCAAAUCAUCAUGCCCCUUAUGUCUUGGGCUACACACGUGCUACAAUGGCAGUUACAAAGAGAUGCGAAACCGUAAGGCGAAGCAAACCUCACAAAAGCUGUCCCAGUUCGGAUCGUGGGCUGCAACCC